rnacentral:rRNA from 1 species
UACGGGGGGGGCAAGCGUUGUUCGGAAUUACUGGGCGUAAAGGGCUCGUAGGUGGCCAACUAAGUCAGACGUGAAAUCCCUCGGCUUAACCGGGGAACUGCGUCUGAUACUGGAUGGCUUGAGUUUGGGAGAGGGACGCGGAAUUCCUGGUGUAGCGGUGGAAUGCGCAGAUAUCAGGAGGAACACCGGUGGCGAAGGCGGGUCUCUGGGCAGUAACUGACGCUGAGGAGCGAAAGCGUGGGGAGCGAACAGG